CCUCUAACCUCUGUCUGUUCAAUGGCUCCAGGAUACCCUGCAGAAGAAACACAUGGCAGAAAGUGGCCAAAGAUUUCAAAAAGUGCUUUUACUCUUAUUACAGUUGGUAAUUACUAUAUUACUAUUAUACUAUAUUGCUAUAACUAUAAAUAUGUUCCAACAUCUUAACUGGAAUGUAGUAAAAAAAAAAAAAUACUACUAGAAAAAGAUUCCAUGGGAUGCUCAUGGUUUUCUUGGCAUGGUACCAUUGUAAUGUUCUUUUUUUAGAUUAUUAUAUUAUUGAUAUUAUGGUACUACGAUACUUUGUAAAUACCAUGAUACCAUAUAAAAAAUGAACCAUGAUGUAUGAACAUGGUAAUCCUUCAGUAUGAUUCAUGGUAUUCAAUUUACAUUUACAUUUAUUCAUUUAACAGACGCUUUUAUCCAAAACGACUUACAAAUGAGGAUAAUGGAAGCAAUCAAAAUCAACACAAGAGCAAUGAAAUACAAGUGCUAUAACAAGUCUCAGUUAGCUUAAUGCAGUACGCAUAGCAAGGGCUUUUAAAUAAUAUAAUAAAUAAAAAGAAAACAGAUAGAAUAGAAAAAGAAUAAAGCAAGCUAGUGUUAAGAGUUUUUGUUAAAUAAUAAUAAAGGAAAUGGAAACAGAAUACUAAAAGAUUAGAAAGCUAGUUAGAUUUUAUUUUAUUUAGAAUAGAAUAAGGAUAGAGAGUGCUAAAGUUAUAGGGUCAAAUAACGAUGCAAGAGAUGUGUUUUAAGCCGAUUCUUGAAGAUGGCUAAAGACUCAGCUGCUCGGAUUGAGUUGGGCAGGCAAUUCCACCAGGAGGGAACAUUUAAUUUAACUGUAAAGGUUUGAUAGAAUUGGCUGGAAGACCUGCCAAGAUAGCACUGCAAUAGCCCAGCCUGGACAGAACAAGUGCCUGAACCAGGAGUUGUGCAGCAUGUUCCCGAAAGAAAGGGCCUGAUCUUCUUGAUAUUGAAUGAAGCAAAUCUGCAGGACCAGACAGUUUUAGCAAUGUGGUAUGAGAAAAUCAGCUGAUCAUCAAUCCUAACUCCAAUAAUUACGUGUUCUUUAAUCCAACAUGCUACAUUUCUUAAUUAGGGUAAUGAAAAACAUUUAACUUCUAUUCAGAAGCCAACAGCAAGAAGGCAGACAUUCGUAAAAUGGGAGGAGAACAUGGACCAGCAUUACUGACAAAUGAAGGGGAGAUGGCCACAAAACCAAUAUUAAAAUUCAACGGGAAAAAAAAGUGUGUUGUGUUUAUUUAACAACUGUGGUGGUGGCUACAGCAUAUCUAGCAUUACCCUUCCAUCUGGCAUCCUUCCAUUCAGCUUAAUUUUCGGAAGGUGCGAUGGUGACACAAUAUGUCUAUAAUCAGUAAAUCCAAACACACUGGAAAUCCUAAAGGAAAUUCUAAUUAUUAGGUUACUUAGAGGUCACAGCAGAUGCUAUUAAAGGGUUAGUUCACCCAAAAAUUAACAUUAUGUCAUUAAUGACCAGUGUUUGCAAUAACGGCGUUUAAAAGAACGGCGUUAGGUAACGACGUUAUUUUUUCAGUAACGCGGUAAUCUAACUAAUUACUUUUCCCGUCGUUACAACGCCGUUAACGUUACUGAACGUUAAAUGUGGUGCGUUACUAUGCAUUGAUUUAAUAAACUAUGCAAUCCGAACGGACCCCUGGCUCACACAGCGAGUGAUCAGGUGGGUUAAUAACGAGAUAAGCGAUUAUGAUUGGCUAAGGCAGAGUCAUGUGUUUCAUGGAAGCCAAUCAGAGCCAGUGUUUUUACACACAUGCUGGCACACGCGGCUGCACCAGCGGCGCCAAACACACACACACACACACACACACGCAACAGCUAAACAGAGAUUCGCAGCAGCAGAAAUGGCGAUGAAAAGUUGGCAUUUUCAAGGUGAAGACAUAAGCACUACUUCAAAUUCAUUGUGGUCAAAGGCAAGAACGUGCACAUGUAAUGUGUACAUGUAAUGUGUGACACGCAUCUACAAAGCUAGUGGCCAAAAACACUUUUCUUACAAAGAUAAAACUUGAAGUGCAGGAUAAAACUCUUGCUGUCUGUUGACGUGCAAAUUCUCAUUUCAACAGACUUGUGAAAAAAAAAGUACAAAUUCUCUGACAUGUAGCAACUUUUUUUUUUUUUUUUUUUACAGUAACGCAAAUAGUUACUUUCCCUGGUAACGAGUUACUUUUAUUAUAGAGUAAUUCAGUUACUAACUCAGUUACUUUUAGGAACAAGUAGUAACUAUAACUAAUUACUUUUUUAAAGUAACAUUCCCAACACUGUUAAUGACUCACCCUCAUGUCGAUGACUCUUCCUCAUAUAUAUAUAUAGGUUUUCUCUACUUCCUGUUGGCCUUCUGUAGCUAAUCGUAGCUCCGUGUAGCUGUUUUUAUUUAUUUUUUUUCUCUAGAAUCUUUAUCUUACUAUCACUGUCUGUUUGUUUGUUUGUUUUUUAAGUUGUAAAAUAUAACUUAAUUCACACCAUAUUUCUGAUAUUAUCGAUCAAUCUUAUCAGAUUAACUUUGAUCGUUCACUUUUCCGUGAGUGCAGUACACCUACAAAGCGUUAGCACUCGUUAGCUUGUCAUUAGCGUUCUCUAUUCUCCUCUCCUCUCUCUCGCUCCAGUUUUUCACAAGUUCAUCAAACAACCACAGUAAGAAUAUUUCAUCAAGCACGGUGAGUAAUGGCUUCGCCUGCUAUCAUUAUUUGCACCUCUUGCCACAUGUACAGUUUAUCUAUCUCUGUCGCUGAUGAGGGAUUCACAUGUGAUAAAUGCAGGGAAAUAGUUAGGCUGACAGAGAAGAUUUCAGAAUUAGAGACACGCAUCCAAACUUUAAUUGAGGACAGUAAGAAUGUUAGGGCUCUAGAUACGGCUUUGGAUGCGUCUAGCUCAGGGAUUCCUGUACAUUGUCCGGUUCCAGCAGAGCCCCUGCAGCAGGGCAACUGGGUGACAGUGAGGCAGCAUAGUCGUGGGUAAAAACACCGCUCUUCUGUUCCAAUCAAAACAUUAAACAGGUUCUCCCCACUCAGUGAUUCACCCACUGAGAAACCUGAUGAAAGUGCUCUAGUUAUUGGUGAUUCUAUUGUACGGAACGUGAAUAUAGAGACACCAGCCACCAUAGUCAAAUGUUUACCGGGAGCCAGAGCGCCUGACAUCUUGGCAAAUUUAAAAGUGCUGGCUAAUGCUAAGCGUAAAUACAGUAAGAUUGUUAUUCAUGCCGGCACUAAUGAUGUUCGACUUCGCCAGUCGGAGAUCACUAAAAAUAACUUUAAAGAGGUGUGUGAACUUGCAAGCACGAUGUCAGACACUGUAAUAUGCUCUGGUCCCCUCCCUGCUUACCGUGGUGAUGAGAUGCAUAGCAGAUUGUCAUCACUCAAUGGCUGGAUGUCUAAGUGGUGCCCACAGCAUAACAUAGGUUUCAUAGACAAUUGGACGAGCUUUUGGGGCAGACCUGACCUGCUUAAAAGAGAUGGUCUUCAUCCCUCCUGAAAUAUGGCAAAUAGUCUUAGAGUUCAUACUUGACUAACUGGGGCCCAGGUCAGGAAGCAGACAGACUGGCUAAACUGACCGUCUGCUAGCUGCCUCCCGUCACAGAGGUCAGCUAAUUCUCAGCACAUAGAGACUCUUUCACCUAGAUAUCACACUAUAGAGACUGUGUCUGUUCCCCGAACUAGAAAAUACAAAAAAAGUUAAGGUUAACAAUUUAAUUGAGGUUCAACAAAUAAAAAACAAAUUCAAUAUGGAUAAACAAAUGAUAAAGCUUGACUUAUUGAAUAUCAGAUCGAUUUCUACUAAAACACUUUUUGUAAAUAACAUGAUAACUGAUCAUAAUAUAGAUGUGCUCUGUUUGACAGAAACCUGGCUAAAACCUGAAGAUUACAUUAUUUUAAAUGAGUCCACCCCCCAAGAUUACUGUUAUAAACACGAGCCACGUCUAAAAGGCAAAGGGGGAGGAGUUGCUUCAAUUUAUAACAACGCUUUCAGGAUUUCUCAGAGGGCAGGCUUCAAGUAUAACUCGUUUGAAGUAAUGGUGCUAUAUAUAACAUUAUCCAGAGAAACAAAUGUUAAUGAUAAAUUACCUGUUAUGUCUGUACUGGCUACUGUAUACAGGCCACCAGGGCACCAUACAGACUUUAUUAAAGAGUUUGGUGAUUUUACAUCCGAGUUAGUUCUGGCUGCAGAUAAAGUUUUAAUAGUUGGUGAUUUUAAUAUCCAUGUCGAUAAUGAAAAAGAUGCAUUGGGAUCAGCAUUUAUAGACAUUCUGAACUCUAUUGGUGUUAGACAACACGUUUCAGGACCUACUCAUUGUCGAAAUCAUACUCUAGAUUUAAUACUGUCACAUGGAAUUGAUGUUGAUAGUGUUGAAAUUGUGCAGCCAAGUGAUGAUAUCUCAGAUCAUUAUUUAGUUCUGUACAAACUAAAAUUAUAAAUUCUACUUUUUGUUACAAGAAGUAUCGAAGAACCAUCACUUCUACCACAAAAGUUAUCUUCCUGAUGUAUCCAAAUUCCUUAGCAUAUCCAAAACCUCAGAACAACUUGAUGAUGUAACAGAAACUAUGGACUCUCUCUUUUCUAGCACUUUAAAUACAGUUACUCCUUUACGCUUAAGGAAGGUUAAGGAAAACAGUUUGACACCAUGGUAUAAUGAGCAUACUCAUACCCUAAAGAGAGCAGCCCGAAAAAAGGAGCACAGCUGGAGGAAAACAAAACUAGAGCUAUUUCGUAUUGCUUGGCGGGAAAGUGACAUAUCCUACAGAAAAGCAUUAAAAACGGCUAGAUCUGAUUACUUUUCUUCUCUUUUAGAAGAAAACAAACAUAACCCCAGGUAUUUAUUCAGUACAGUGGCUAAAUUAAUGAAAACUAAAGCCUCAACAAGUGUUGACUUUUCCCAACACCACAGCAGUAAUGACUUUAUUAACUACUUUACUUCUAAAAUCGAUUCUAUUAGAGAUAAAAUUGCAACCAUUCAGCCGUCAGCUACAUUAUCACAUCAGACAGUGCACUAUAGACCCCCUGAGGAACAGUUCCACUCAUUCUCUACUAUAGGAGAGGAAGAAUUGUAUAAACUUGUUAAAUCAUCUAAACCAACAACAUGUAUGUUAGACCCUAUACCAUCUAAGUUCCUAAAAGAGGUGCUUCCAGAAGUCAAAGGUCCUCUUCUCACUAUUAUUAAUUCCUCAUUGUCAUUAGGAUAUGUCCCCAAAACUUUCAAACUGGCUGUUAUUAAGCCUCUCAUAAAAAAAACACAACUUGAUCCCAAAGAACUAGUUAAUUAUAGACCAAUCUCGAAUCUCCCUUUUCUGUCCAAGAUACUAGAAAAGGUGGUAUCCUCACAAUUAUAUUCCUUCUUAGAGAAAAAUGGUAUAUGUGAGGAUUUCCAGUCAGGAUUUAGACAGUAUCAUAGAGACUGCUCUCCUUAGAGUUACAAAUGACCUGCUCUUAUCAUCUGAUCGUGGAUGUAUCUCUCUAUUAGUUUUAUUGGAUCUUAGUGCUGCGUUUGACACAAUUGACCACAGCAUUCUUUUGCACAGACUUGAACACUUUGUUGGCAUCAGUGGAAAUGCAUUAGCAUGGUUUAAAUCGUACUUAUAUGACCGCCAUCAGUUCGUAGCAGUGAAUGAAGAUGUAUCAUAUCGAUCACAAGUGCAGUAUGGAGUACUUCAAGGCUCAGUACUAGGGCCGCUACUCUUCACGCUUUAUAUGUUACCCUUGGGAGAUAUCAUCAGGAAACAUGGUGUUAGCUUUCACUGUUAUGCUGAUGAUACUCAGCUCAAUAUUUCUUCGCGGCCGGUGAAACACACCAAUUUGAAAAACUAAUGGAAUGCAUAGUCGAUAUAAAAAAUUGGAUGACGAGUAAUUUCUUACUGCUAAAUUCUGAAAAAACAGAGGUGUUAAUUAUAGGACCUAAAAACUCUGCUUGUAAUAACCUAGAACACUGUCUAAGACUUGCUCUGUCAAUUCGUCGUCAUUAGUUAGGAACCUUGGUGUGCUAUUUGAUCGCAAUCUUUCCUUAGAAAGCCACGUUUCUAGCAUUUGUAAAACUGCAUUUUUCCAUCUCAAAAAUAUAUCUAAAUUACAGCCUAUGCUCUCAAUGUCAAAUGCAGAAAUGCUAAUCCAUGCAUUUAUGACCUCAAGGUUAGAUUAUUGUAAUGCUUUAUUGGGUGGUUGUUCUGCACGCUUAGUAAACAAACUACAGCUAGUCCAAAAUGCAGCAGCAAGAGUUCUUACUAGAACCAGGAAGUAUGACCAUAUUAGCCUGUUCCUGUCAUCGCUGCACUGGCUCCCUAUCAAACAUCAUAUAGAUUUUUAAAUAUUGCUUAUUACUUAUAAAGCCCUGAAUGGUUUAGCACCUCAGUAUUUGAAUGAGCUCCUUUUACAUUAUACUCCUCUACGUCCGCUACAUUCUCAAAACUCAGGCAAUUUGAUAAUACCUAGAAUAUCAAAAUCAACUGCGGGCGGCAGAUCCUUUUCCUAUUUAGCGCCUAAACUCUGGAAUAACCUACCUAACAUUGUUUGGGAGGAAGACACACUCUUGCAGUUUAAAUCUAGAUUAAAGACCCAUCUCUUUAACCUGGCUUACACAUAACAUACUAAUAUGCUUUUAAUAUCCAAAUCCGUUAAAGGAUUUUUAGGCUGCAUUAAUUAGGUAAACCGGAACCGGAAACACUUCACAUAACACCCUAUGUACGUUCUUACAUCAUUAGAAGAAUGACAUCUACGCUAAUAUUUGUCUGUUUCUCUCUUGUUCCGAGGUCACCGUGGCAACCAGAUCCAGUCUGUAUCUAGAUCAGAGGGUCACUGCAGUCACCCGGAUCCAGUACGUAUCCAGACAUGAUGGUGGAUCAGCACCUAGAAAGGACCUCUACUGCCCUGAAAGACAGCGAAGACCAGGACAACUAGAGCCCCAGAUACAGAUCCCCUGUAAAGACCUCGUCUCAGAGGACCAGGACAAGACCACAGGAAACAGAUGAUUCUUCUGCACAAUCUGACUUUGCUGCAGCCUGGAAUUGAACUACUGGUUUCGUCUGGUCAGAGGAGAACUGGCCCCCCAACUGAGCAUGGUUUCUCCCAAGGUUUUUUUUCUCCAUUCUGUCACCGAUGGAGUUUCGGUUCCUUGCCGCUGUCGCCUCUGGCUUGCUUAGUUGGGGUCACUUCAUCUACAGCGAUAUCAUUGACUUGAUUGCAAAUAAAAACAGACACUAUUUCAACUGAACAGAGAUGACAUAACUGAAUUCAAUGAUGAACUGCCUUUAACUAUCAUUUUGCAUUAUUGAGACACUGUUUUCCAAAUGAAUGUUGUUCAGUGCUUUGACGCAAUGUAUUUUGUUUAAAGCACUAUAUAAAUAAAGGUGAUUGAUUGAUUGA